rnacentral:rRNA from 1 species
CAGUCGCCGCGGGAAUACGUAGGGUGCAAGCGUUAAUCGGAAUUACUGGGCGUAAAGCGUGCGCAGGCGGUUAUAUAAGACAGAUGUGAAAUCACCGGGCUCAACCUGGGAACUGCAUUUGUGACUGUAUAGCUAGAGUACGGCAGAGGGGGAUGGAAUUCCGCGUGUAGCAGUGAAAUGCGUAGAUAUGCGGAGGAACACCGAUGGCGAAGGCAAUCCCCUGGGCCUGUACUGACGCUCAUGCACGAAAGCGUGGGGAGCAAACAGGAUUAGAUACCCGAGUAGUCCCUGUCUCUUAUAC